AUCAUGGAGAGUUUGAUCCUGGCUCAGAACGAACGCUGGCGGCGCGUCUUAAGCAUGCAAGUCGAGCGGCAAGCGGUAGCAAUACCGCCUAGAGCGGCGGACUGGUGAGUAACGCGUGGGUGAUCUACCUAUAGGUUGGGGAUAGCCUCUAGAAAUAGAGGGUAAUACCGAAUAUCUUUGCCGGACUUUGGUUUGGUAAGGAAAGGCGCUUCGGCGCCGCCUGUUGAUGAGCCCGCGUACUAUUAGCUUGUUGGUGAGGUAAUGGCCCACCAAGGCUAUGAUAGUUAGCCGGCCUGAGAGGGUGAUCGGCCACAUUGGGACUGAGAUACGGCCCAAACUCCUACGGGAGGCAGCAGCUAAGAAUAUUCCGCAAUGGACGAAAGUCUGACGGAGCGACGCCGCGUGAAUGACGAAGGCCGAAAGGUUGUAAAAUUCUUUUGCCACUGAAGAAUAAGCAUGGUAGGUAAUGACCGUGUGAUGACGUUAGGUGGUGAAUAAGCCCCGGCUAAUUACGUGCCAGCAGCCGCGGUAACACGUAAGGGGCGAGCGUUGUUCGGAAUUAUUGGGCGUAAAGGGCGCGUAGGCGGCUCUGUAAGUCUGAAGUGAAA
rnacentral:rRNA from 1 species